rnacentral:misc_RNA from 1 species
AACUUUUGACAAUGGAUCUCUCGGCUCGUAGUCCGAUGAAGAUCGCAGCCAAAUGCGAUAGUUAGUGCGAACUGCAGAUAUUCUGAGCACUGAAACGUCGAAUGCACAUUGCGCCUUGGGACUUACAUCCCUUGGCACGCCUGGUUCAGGGUCGUUUCCAUCUAAAAGCAGCUGACUGCGCUGCUGGUACGACCAUGGCACGAGCACCCCAGCCGCAGGGGCGCUCUGGGCCUGGUCUUGUUGUUGAGCUGUUGCGCUCGUGCGUACAAGGGCAACUGCUGGUCGUGUAAAUUUUUUGCUUGCAAAAAUGACCGGCAGAGACUCGCCCCGUGCGUGCGUUUAACGCGCUCGUUCUACCGACCUGAACUCAGACGUGAUGACCCGCUGAACUUAAGCAUAUCAAUAAGCGGAGGCU